rnacentral:rRNA from 1 species
CAGUAGCCGCGGUAAUACGUAGGGUGCAAGCGUUAAUCGGAAUUACUGGGCGUAAAGCGUGCGCAGGCGGUUAUAUAAGACAGAUGUGAAAUCCCCGGGCUCAACCUGGGAACUGCAUUUGUGACUGUAUAGCUAGAGUACGGCAGAGGGGGAUGGAAUUCCGCGUGUAGCAGUGAAAUGCGUAGAUAUGCGGAGGAACACCGAUGGCGAAGGCAAUCCCCUGGGACUGUACUGACGCUCAUGCACGAAAGCGUGGGGAGCAAACAGGAUUAGAUACCCCAGUAGUCCCUGUCUCUUAUAC